rnacentral:siRNA from 1 species
AUUCGCACAAUUGGUCAUCGC